AUCUCACUCUAUAGUAAAACCCAGAAAUACAAGCUGUACCAAUUAUGCACGUCCUAGGAUGUAUGCUCUGUGUUUUUGUUAUUUUUUCAACGAAAAUGUUUUUUGGAGGCGUUUCGCAGGGUGAAAUGAUUUUUGAGAUUGUGACCAUGGAAAAUAAUUCCUGUCUGUUCAGAAAUAUGAGCAUCCCAAAUGGAAAAUAUGGGCUACCCACCAAUAACUGCAUGAGCAGCCCCUUGUGCGUGGGGCCGAGCAAGACAGUUUGGUAUCUGAAUUGCAGCGAGCCUGCCCCAAUUCCAAGUGGCGAGAAAAACUGCACUAUAAGGGAGAACACCACUGCUCCUUAUCCUAGCUGCUGCCCGAUGACGGUGUGCACAUAAAUGUGAAGGCGGUGGUGGUGCUAUUUAGACCUUCCAGACGCCAACAGCAUGGCAAAAUUAUUGCCCCCUCCACCUCCCUCCCUCCGACGAAGUGAAGCAAGA